rnacentral:rRNA from 1 species
AUUGAACGCUGGCGGCAUGCCUUACACAUGCAAGUCGAACGGCAGCACGGGAGCAAUCCUGGUGGCGAGUGGCGAACGGGUGAGUAAUAUAUCGGAACGUGCCCAGUCGUGGGGGAUAACGCAGCGAAAGCUGUGCUAAUACCGCAUACGAUCUACGGAUGAAAGCGGGGGAUCGCAAGACCUCGCGCGAUUGGAGCGGCCGAUAUCAGAUUAGCUAGUUGGUGGGGUAAAGGCCCACCAAAGCGACGAUCCGUAGCUGGUCUGAGAGGACGACCAGCCACACUGGAACUGAGACACGGUCCAGACUCCUACGGGAGGCAGCAGUGGGGAAUGUUGGACAAUGGGCGCAGGCCUGAUCCAGCAAUGCCGCGUGCAGGAUGAAGGCCUUCGGGUUGUAAACUGCUUCUGUACGGAACGAAACGGCCCUUUCUAAUACAGGGGGCUAAUGACGGUACCGUAAGAAUAAGCACCGGCUAACUACGUGCCAGCCGCCGCAGUAAUAC